AUGCGCGGCGCCUUAACUCUGAGCUUUUACCGUGAAGCAUCUCAAUCAUUGAACUCGAAGCAGGGUGGGCGCAGGGCAACCGCACAGAUACCGAAGACAUCCCUGGGGAUGCGAAGGCGGAGACCACAAUUUUCUGGGUGGCAGUACGGGCAGACCGGGAACGCCCCUGAGGGCGGGGCCGAGAGGGCCAGGCCCCGCCCACACAAGCCCCUCCUUUCGGGCCCCGCCCCUCCCGCUCUCGCGUUUUCCUGUCGACCCGGAAGCAGAUUUCCCAGAUCGCGGGUCCCGUUUCCUGGAGUGAGUUUCAGUGUUUCUACUUCAAACUCGCUCGUUGGUCCCGGUGCUGCGUCCUCCACGAGUGCGGGCUCCCGCGGCCGUGACAACCCCGGCAUCCCCCUGUCGCCGUCGCGGGGAGCGCCGCCUAGUCAGGAGACGCUCUGCUGCCGGGUCCGGGUCGGAGUCAGUUUCCGCUGAAAUUUUCUCUGUGGCUGACUGCAAAGUCAUAUGCGAUGGAUGCAAUGGGUAUACUGAAGUCUCUACAAUUGGAAUAAAUGGGGAUAGAAAGUCUCUACA
rnacentral:lncRNA from 1 species